GCCUAAUACAUGCAAGUCGAGCGGACAGAAGGGAGCUUGCUCCCGGAUGUUAGCGGCGGACGGGUGAGUAACACGUGGUAACCUGCCUGUAAGACUGGGAUAACUCCGGGAAACCGGAGCUAAUACCGGAUAGUUCCUUGAACCGCAUGGUUCAAGGAUGAAAGACGGUUUCGGCUGUCACUUACAGAUGGACCCGCGGCGCAUUGCUAGUUGGUGGGGUAAUGGCUCACCAAGGCGACGAUGCGUAGCCGACCUGAGAGGGUGAUCGGCCACACUGGGACUGAGACACGGCCCAGACUCCUACGGGAGGCAGCAGUAGGGAAUCUUCCGCAUGGACGAAAGUCUGACGGAGCAACGCCGCGUGAGUGAUGAAGGUUUUCGGAUCGUAAAGCUCUGUUGUUAGGGAAGAACAAGUGCGAGAGUAACUGCUCGCACCUUGACGGUACCUAACCAGAAAGCACGGCUAACUACGUGCCAGCAGCCGCGGUAAUACGUAGGUGGCAAGCGUUGUCCGGAAUUAUUGGGCGUAAAGGGCUCGCAGGCGGUUUCUUAAGUCUGAUGUGAAAGCCCCCGGCUCAACCGGGGAGGUCAUUGGAAACUGGGAAACUUGAGUGCAGAAGAGGAGAGUGGAAUUCCACGUGUAGCGGUGAAAUGCGUAGAGAUGUGGAGGAACACCAGUGGCGAAGGCGACUCUCUGGUCUGUAACUGACGCUAGGAGCGAAAGCGUGGGGAGCGAACAGGAUUAGAUACCCUGGUAGUCCACGCCGUAAACGAUGAGUGCUAAGUGUUAGGGGGUUUCCGCCCGCUUAGUGCUGCAGCUAACGCAUUAAGCACUCCGGC
rnacentral:rRNA from 1 species